CUCCCUGAGUUCAGACCUUGUAGGGUCGGCCAACUGGGUAAAACCAAGAAAGAAGCCUUGGGUUUUCUGUGCAGAUCCCACAAGGCCUCCGGAAUCCGCCAAGUUUCCCAAGAGGUCUUCAAAUCCCUGUCCCGGUGCCCCCAGAGGGGUGCGGCUGCCUCAGAAGCCACCACGGAACGUGAAACAGACCUGAGCUGGCAGCUGUGGCCUGUUUCAGCCCCAGCAGUGGGCAUGGCUACCAUCUGUAGUGUCUGGGGUGAGAUUUCACUUGAACAAAGGCUUCUGCUGCCAAAAAACAAAAAAGUUGGAAGCCACAGUAUACUGGAGAGAAAAUGGAAUUUGGAGUCAGACCGAGCUCUUUGACUUGCACUGUGUGACCUCAGAUUCCAAGUUCCUGGAUGCCAAGAGACUUGUGUUCCAUUUCUCGAUGCCCCUGCCCCGAGUGCCUCACACAGUGCCACAUUAUCCAGGAGGGGCUGCUGACUGACUGGCACCUUUUUCCUGAAAGGCAGCCUUUGCAACUAUUUUCCAGAACCCAGGGCCUUACUGCAAUCAUCUUAGUUCAUUCUAAGGAAGUUUUCUCUUUGCAUCUGACUAAAUGGCACACUGGAGGACAGAAAAAAAUAAGGGAUUUUUAUACAGCAGAUGAAAAGGAAAAAAGAAAACUUGAUGGAAAGGGUGAGCCUCCAUGCUGACUAGCUCCUUUGGGGCUCAUCGACUUGUUAAUGAACGACCUGCUAUGCUGUGCUUAGUCGUGUCCGACUCUGCAAUCCCGUGGACUGGAGCACCAGGCUCCUCUGUCCAUGGGGAUUCUCCAGGCAGAAGAAUCACUGAAGUGCAAAAAUUGUGCUGACGUCCACAGGAGCACCGAGGCGGGCAGAAGAGGCGAUGCCAUUCUCACCCCAAGCCUGUUGAGCAGUGUUAUUAAAUAUGAACUCCAAACACUGGGGAAGCUAAUGAGCCAUGAACACCAGUGCAUGUCAAGACCUAUACUACAACACAGAGGAGGUUCAAUCUGAGCAAUGUGAACGGCACUCACUCUUCCUUUAUUCUUGCCUUCUCUAGACACAGCCCAGGCCUCAGCAUUGCUCUAGCAACAAGGCAGCUCACGGCAGAGUUUCCAUGGAGGCUCAGAUCCACACAGGUGAAAAACAGCUCAGGUCAGCUUGACAUGGAGGGAAGCCCAGACCAUCUGCUCACCUACCAGCUUGUGCCAACCACAGAGCACUGGGUUGAAAUGUUUAUUUUUAAGCCCUUCCUCUCUAUUUUCUGCCCUGGACUCUUAUCCCUACUUCCUUCAAACUCUGGAAUGCCACAGGCUUUCUACAAAAUGAAUUUCUAGCUAUUUUCAUAGGGAGAACAUGGAGGGCCACGCCUCCCCCCUCCCCCCAUAGCUCUUGCUGGAUCUUAGUUUCCACUUGGCAGAGAGGACUGGGCUUAGCCUAUUU